rnacentral:rRNA from 1 species
UAGGGAAUCUUCCACAAUGGACGCAAGUCUGAUGGAGCAACGCCGCGUGAGUGAAGAAGGUUUUCGGAUCGUAAAGCUCUGUUGUUGGUGAAGAAGGAUAGAGGCAGUAACUGGUCUUUAUUUGACGGUAAUCAACCAGAAAGUCACGGCUAACUACGUGCCAGCAGCCGCGGUAAUACGUAGGUGGCAAGCGUUGUCCGGAUUUAUUGGGCGUAAAGCGAGCGCAGGCGGAAUGAUAAGUCUGAUGUGAAAGCCCACGGCUCAACCGUGGAACUGCUUCGGAAACUGUCAGUCUUGAGUGCAGAAGAGGAGAGUGGAAUUCCAUGUGUAGCGGUGGAAUGCGUAGAUAUAUGGAAGAACACCAGUGGCGAAGGCGGCUCUCUGGUCUGCAACUGACGCUGAGGCUCGAAAGCAUGGGUAGCGAACAGG